rnacentral:lncRNA from 1 species
AUGAUAUGCAAACCAAGGCAAGAAACAACCUAUGGAAGGCAUCACAAUAGCUAUAGGAACAUUAGGCUCCAUCAAUAUGGAACCAGGUUUUCCAGAAUUUUCCACGGUAUGUUACACCUCCAAGCCUCCGCCCGUGUGUGUUCUCUGCCCAGAGCCUCCCUUCUGUGUCUUGUGUCAGACAUUAUGUCUCCCACAGUGAAGCUCCUAACUCAAGGCUUUCCCUGUUUUUAGUUUUCAGGGAAGAGGUAAUCAGUCUCUCCUUUGUGUAUGGUAUAUAUGUCUAUUCAAAUUGCUUUGAUGAAUGUUUGUUGAGUUUAUUUUCUUUUCUUCACAGUUUUCUCUACUAGACGAUGAACUCCUUGAACGAUGAUGUCUGUAACGUAGAAAAUGCUUAAUAAGGGCUCGCCAAAUUGAAGUGGACUUCACAUACCUGCUCUUGCCAUAAGCACGCCGGUUUCAAGUAAGUUUUCUUUCUUUUGGCUCCACUCUUGAAAUACAAAUUGACCUCUCAGAACUUUUCCUCUAAUGCCCUUGUAGGAAAAUGUUAAUAACUGGUCAGUGACAGCCGUGAUUAAGCCUUCUGUCUCCUUUAUUUAGAUUGGUGUCACUGCACUGGCUGUGAGAGAGCCAUAAAAAACAUUAACACUGCAUCCACCAUGACAGAGCAAACCAUUCCCUAGAAAUUGAUAAGGGCUUUUUUUCUGGAAAUGAAUUUGGUUGUGGCAAAACAAAUGGUUGCCUCUAUUGCCAUCCAUCUCUUUUUCUUUAAUAACUUUCAUUUCUUUCACCACAUCCCUUUGUCUGAUUAGUAUAAUGAAUGCAUUUAUCUUUGAAGGAUGGGAAUUGGCAGAAUUUUUCAGGACAGAGGAAAACUAAAUAUCCCUUAAGCAAGCCCCUUAAUAUGUUUUAAACUAUCAUUUGGGAGUUUUGGUUAACCAUUUGGAAAUCUGGGUCUUAUUUCUCUAACAAGGAUCAAUGAUCCUGAAAAGAAACUUAAAAGCAAAUUUUAAUUCUCUGACUGGGAUAAAAUAUUCGUAUUUGUAGU